rnacentral:tRNA from 1 species
GGUGGCUCAGUGGUAGAGCGCGAGCCUUGCAUGCUCAAGGCCCUGGGUUCGAUUCCUCAGCACCA